UGAGGCUCACCUUCGCCCUUAUCCCCUGCCUUUUGGUGGUGUUAGCGUUUCCCCAAACCCCACCAAGCGAAUGAUCCGCUCGCAGUGCCGUGGUCAAGCAAGCAGGGUCUCCUCAAGAGCUGCAUCGCUUCCUCCCAGGCCGUCACACACUUCCCCCAGAAUGUAGUCAACGACUACAACAACUGCCACACCGCCCUGCUGCGAAGCUACGCCAACCGCCGCCAGACGCUGCUCCUGACCGGCUACGUGUCGGGCAUGAUCGAGUGCGGCAGGGCCACCGCCUCCUGGCAGCUCGGCUCUUUGGUUGGCGACGUCAUGCUUUGCGUGGCUCUGGCCAUGGCCGCCGGCUAACAAUCCGAUACUUGGCAACCUCAUUCCGUGGCCAUACUUCUCAGGCUUACCCUGUGGCGGUGGGCUUUUCUUCAAAUUGUUAAAUAAAUGAAUAAUUUGUAAAAGUU
rnacentral:lncRNA from 1 species